GAAAUUUCCGCCGCCGACCCCUACGAAGGGUGCGGACGUCGCGACCCGUUCGCCGUCGGUCUGACGAGGCGCGCUUCAAGUUCGUUACGCGUCGCGCUUCGGCGCGGCGUGAGGCGAUGGCGCGCUUUUUUCGGGCCGGCGAUAAUGCGCGGACGGUAGCUGUAAUGUGCGGUAAUCGGCGCGGCCGAUCGGCGAACGCCUAAGAACGUUCGUCGGGUGCGCGCGUCGACGCCGGUCAGCGACGAAUCUUCGGGCCUCUUUCCGACCCGUCUUGAAACACGGACCAAGGAGUCUAACGUGCGCGCGAGUCGCGGGGUAUCCGAGUCGUUACGCGACUCGUCACGAUACGAAACCCGUGUACGUACGUUGUGCGAAGGCGUAAUGAAAGUGAAAGGCGGCGCGCUCGCGCGUCGUCGGGGAAGAUGGUGUUCCGAGUACACGUUUCUCGGUCGUACGGUACCCGAGACCGGACACCCGCAUUCCCAGGGCGUCCCGUCCGUACGUCGCGGAUGCUACGACGACGGUCGCUUCGGCGGCCGGCGUCGAUUCGCGACGAACUGGGGCGCACCUAUAGCGUGCACGUUGGUACCCGAAAGAUGGUGAACUAUGCCCGGCCAGGAU
rnacentral:rRNA from 1 species